rnacentral:rRNA from 1 species
UACGGAGGGUGCAAGCGUUAUCCGGAUUCACUGGGUUUAAAGGGUGCGUAGGCGGGCAGGUAAGUCAGUGGUGAAAUCUCCGAGCUUAACUCGGAAACUGCCGUUGAUACUAUUUGUCUUGAAUAUUGUGGAGGUAAGCGGAAUAUGUCAUGUAGCGGUGAAAUGCUUAGAUAUGACAUAGAACACCGAUAGCGAAGGCAGCUUGCUACACAAUUAUUGACACUGAGGCUCGAAAGCGUGGGGAUCAAACAGG